ACUAUUAUAUAAGAAGGAGUUGCUGCCUUCUACAGUAAAUGUGGCUCUCUUUGUCUUUUCAUUUUUGUAAUUCAUCUUUAUUCAGUUUAGCUUUUGUUUUAUUGAAGAGUUUUGGGUCAAUUGGUAAAUUCACAAAUUACUCACUCUUUGUUUAGGAGAAUCAGCCACGUCUCCCUCUUGCUAGCCACAUCUACUCACUCUUCUCUCCCACUUUGCCAUCUCACUCCUUGCUUUCUCUUUCUCUCACUCCUUUGCAUGUCUCUUUCUCUCUCAACGAUUACAGUGAGAUCACAUUCUUGACGACGAUCAAUGGCUCACGAUGAUGAUCUAAAAAGCACCGGAGAUGGGUUAAAAUGGAUAAUUGAUGGCUUUCUUUUUUUUGGCCCAUUUUCCCCUCAUGUUUUGUUGUUUAAAACUAGAUCAAAGGAGAUGUUUCGGUAAGCUCUGUUUUGUGAAGUUCAGUCCCAAUUUUGCUCAAGUUCUGUUGAAGCUUUUUUAUACUUACAAACUUCUUCUUCGACAACAGGGUCAAUUGCGAGGACAAACCAACCAUCUGAACACUAAGAGUAAUAUCUUAGUAAAGAUAUUUUCAAGUAUGUUAUUUUCUAAAUAUUACCUAUGUGGUUUUCUGAACUCAUGAAUUUGAAUCAUGAAUGAGUAUUCUACCAGUUUGAUUCAUAAAAGACUUAAAACGUGAUUGAUAAGCACGAAAUUACAAGAUUCUACCAGAGGUCAUUUUGUAUGAAUACACAAUGGGCCUUUAAGGCCAUUUAGUAUGAUUGAUGAGAAUGUGUAAUGGGCCCAAGGCCAUUUGGUAUUUUGAUAAGGACACGGAAUGAGCCUAGAGCCAUUUGGAAUAUUUGACAAGAUAAACCUAAGGUUAUAUUACACAUGAAUUGGACCGAAUGUCAUUUUGUAUGAUUGUUAAAUGGACCAAAUAUCAAUUCAAACAAAGAAUUGAUUGGAGUAAAGAUCGUUUUAAAUGUGAAUACGAAUGUAAACAUAAUCACGAUUAUAAACACAUGCAUGAAUAUGAUUUUGGAAAUAAUGGACCUAAGGUCGUUUUGUACAUACAAUGUAAAGGACCAAAUGGUCAUUAAAUGUGAACACGAUCUCAACUUUGAAUAUGCACAUAAAUAAAAUUAUAGAUAUGUUGGACCCGAGAUCAUUUAGUAGCCCCAAGGUUAUUCACAUUUGAAUUCUUAUUGAUUUUGAUAAUCGACAAAUAUGUUGAACUCAUUUAAAAUUUUCAAAGUUUUCAAAAUUAUAUUAUAUUGUUUUUCAUUAUUUCAAAAAAAUUGAAUGGUUCAAAUUUGUCAUUUUCUCAUAAAAAUUGGCACCUCAAAACAUUGAAUUUGUAAAAGUGUGCAAAAGUCUAUUUUUACUUAAAACAAGUCCAAGGGUCGACACCAAAACAACAAGGGUCAGCACCAGAAAGCAAUACAUAAUGCCUAAGUGUUGCAGCAACCAAGGGUCGACACCAAGCCUUAGCAGAGUCGACACCAAAUUUCAGUAUACCAAGGGUCGACACUAAGAAUGAAGAGGGUCGACACUAUAUUUUAGUAUACAAGGCUUAGACAAUUCAGUAACAAAAGGUUGACACCAAAUUUUAGUGAGCUAAGGGUCGACACCAGCAAAUGACAAGGGCUGACACCAAAAGACAGAGAAAAGAGUUCCAGCAAACAAAGAGUCGACACCUAGUUCCAGGAGGGUCGACAAUAGGAACACCUGACAGUCAAAGCAGAGAACAAAAGAGAUCAAAGGGUCAACACCCAAUCUGCAGGGGUCGACACCCUCAUGUAUGGGUUUCAAAACCUAGCCACUAUUUUUUGAUAUAUAAGAAGACUUUGCAGUCAUCAUUAUAAGCAAACCUUGAGCAGACUCUACUAUCAUCAUUAUGGAAACAUAUCUUAUCUUCACCUACCAAGAUUUGUAUUAAUGGACACUGCAUCUUUUGAGGAGUCACCAUCUCCAAAGGCUUGUUGACAAGCCUAUACACACCCAUGCUUUACUCUGACAGCUUGAAAACAUCACCCAUGCUCUGCUCCAAUAGCUAGAAAACACACACAUACUUCUCUCCAACGGCUAGAAGUCAUUAAAGUCUAUAAAGGCAGCACUUCUCCAAAUCUGAUAAAGUAGAACUACUCUGAGCAUUCAAGAACUAUUCCUAAUCAAUCUCUGGUAUAUAUUACUUUUGUACUUUACUUUCACAUCUGAGUUUAUUCUGAGCGUAUCUCAAAAUUUCCUUUGCUCUUACACUUUCAUAUUCAUCUUUUGAGAGAGAAAUCUAGUAAAAGAUGACAAUUGUACCUCUUGUUCUUAUUCCUUUUAUUUUGAGUGAAAUCUGGAAAAGUGAGGCAUUUAGUUGAGAGGUCCUCAACAGAUAAAGUAAGCCCUGUAAAAAAUAAAAAAUAAAAACCACAAGAUUGGUGAGGCUGUGGUGGUGUAUUGAUUUGAUUCAAAGUGAAGAAAAUCUCAAGGAGGAACCUUGAGGAAUGGACGUAGGUCCGGUGCGCUAAAUCACUAUAAUUCCUUGUGUUUAAGCUCUCCUUCCUUUCUCUUUUAUUUUUAGUACUAUUGAUUGUUUGCUGAAAUUUAUCUACUUGAUUUAUUACAUUCAAUAUUCUGCAUUUAAAAUUUUUUAAACCUAAUUCACCCCACCUCUUAGGUUGCUUACUAGGGUAACAAUUGGUAUCAAAGCCUUGUCUCUAGUUUUUUGACUUAACCAUCUUAGAGUGAUGUAUGGCAACCCCUAGCUCCUCUCUUCCUGAAGGUCAAGCCUCAAAUGGACCAUCCUUUUUCAAUGGCACAAAUUUCAACUAUUGGAAAACCCAUAUGAUUAUACAUAUUCAAUCCACUGACUAUAGGGUGUGGAAAAUCAUUUGUAAUGGUCCCAAAGUCCCCACCAAAACCAUAGAUGACCUAAAGGUUCCCAAACUUGAGAGUGAAUGGACUAGUGUUGAUUAUAAAGAUAUUCAAGGCAAUGCCAAAGCUGUCAAUAUGUUGUAUUAUACACUUGAUGCUACCAAGUUCAAUAGGAUUUGUACUUGUACAAUAGCGAAAUAAAUUUGGGAUAAACUUAUUGUAACUCAUGAGAGAACAACACAAGUUAAAGAGUCUAGAGUGAGUUUGCUUAUUCAUAGAUAUGAGCUCUUUAAGAUGAAACCUGAUGAAAACAUCUCCCAAAUGUUUACUCGUUUUACCGAUAUUAUAAACAGCUUGAAAUCUCUCGGUAAAACUUAUACUAAUGUUGAGGUUGUGAGAAAAGUUCUCAGAUCAUUGCCAAAGAGCUGGGAUAACAAAGUUAUCGCUAUGAUAAAAGCCCAAGACUUAUCAAUGCUAUGUGUUGAUGAGUUAAUGGGAUCUCUCUUAACUCGUGAGAUAAUAAAACAAGAAGGAAAAGAAGAAGAUGACAAGAAUAAGAAGAAAUGAAUAGCUUUUAAGUCCACCUUGAAAUUUCAAGAAGAUGAAGAAGACGAUUUGAAGGAAGAUGAUGAAGAAAUGGCAUUCAUCACCAAGAGGUUCAAAAGGUUUGUGAAGAAGAAACAAGGUGUAAGAAAGUUCUUUAGAAAAGACUUUAACAAUAGAGAUUUUCAAAAAAGAGAAAAUCAUAAAAAAAUCUGAAGUCACUUGCUAUAAAUGCAACAAACCGAGACACUACAAGUAAAAAUGUCCAGAGCUCAAGAAACAAUUCAAAAAGGACAAGAAGAAAGCCAUGAUUGCAGCAUGGGGAGAAGAUAAUGAUGAAAGCAACUCAAAAACUAACGCUUGCAAAAAUAAGGUUGCUAACCCAUGCUUGAUGACACUUGGAGAUGAAGAUGAGGUUACUGAUGAAUCUUUUACCUUUGAUGAAUUACGUGCUGCAUUUAAAAAACUAAGUUUGAAAAGCAAUCGUCAAAAGAAAAUGAUUUUAAGUUUAUCACAAGAAAAUGAAUCCUUGACUUCUAAGAUAAAUGCUUUAGAAAAUGAAGUCUUGACCAUGGAAAAGGAGAAAGAGGUUUUAACUUCAAAAGAGUCUUUCAUUUUUGAAAAUAAAGUAGAUGAUUUGCAAAAAGAAAAUGAGAUUUUGAAAAAUAAGAAAAUUGUUUUAAAUAAAAACAUAGAAGAUUUGAAAAAAUGUUCUUUCAAAAUUUACCCAAGGUAGAGAUACCUUAGACAAAAUUCUUAAAAGUUAAACUCGAACCUUUGGAAGAGUUGGGAUUGGAUACAAACCUUUUUUAAAAUUAAAAAAUUCCAAAAAGACGUUUGUUCAUGCAUCAUCAAAUCAUUCUCAUCUCACAUGUCAUUUCUGUGGAAGAAAAGGUCAUAUCUCUCCUUCAUGUCCUGUUAAGAGAAAUUCUUUUGUUAGAAUGAAAAAGGAGUGGGUUUUCAAAAACACUUCAAAUCCUAACUCUCAUGGACCCAAGAAAGAAUGGGUACCAAAAAGCCAACAAAAAUUCAAUUUUUACAGGUGUGCUUUAGGACAAAAUCCAGCACCAACCGAUGAUAUCUCGACAAUGCGUGCUCAAGGCACAUGACCGGUGAUAAAGCAAUGUUCUCAUUUCUUAAAUCCAAAGAAGGAGGUCAUGCAACCUUCGAAGAUAAUAGCAAAGGAAAGAUCAUUGGUGUCGAUAAUAUUGGUAAGUCCUCUUUACCCAUUAUCGAGAAUGUCUUGCUUGUUGAAGGUUUGAAACAUAACUUGCUUAGUACUAGCCAAUUGUGUGAUAAAGGUAAUAGAGUUACUUUCGAAAAAUCUCAUUGUACUACUGAAAGUUCUAUUGAUAACAAAGUGUUUUUUGUAGGUCAUAGACACGAAAAUCUGAAUGUAUUUGAUUUGCGUAGUUUAUCUUCCAAUCAUGAUGUUAAGUACUUAUCUACUAUAAAUGAAUCGGGGGUUGGUUAUGGCAUAGAAGAUUAGGACAUGCUCAUGUUGAUUUGCUUUCAAAACUUUCAAAAUUUGAGUUAGUUAUUGGUUUACCAAAAAUUGCUUUUGAAAAGGAUAGGCUUUGUGAUGUUUGUCAACAAGGUAAACAAACAAAAGUUUCUUUCAAAUCCAAAAAUGUUAUUUCUACAUCUAGACCUCCUCGAUUGCUUCAUAUUGAUUUGUUUGGACCAUCUAGGACUUUAAGUCUCGGUGGAAAAUCAUAUUGUCUUGUUUGUGUGGAUGAUUAUACUAGAUUUGCAUGGGUGUAAUUCUUGGCACAUAAAAGUGACACUUUCUUUGCAUUCUCUAUUUUGUGUAAAUGUAUCCAAAAUAUGAUUAAUCUUGUUAUUUGUUGUAUUAGAAGUGAUCAUGGUAAAAAAAUUAAUAAUGAUGACUUUAUUCUAUUUUGUAAUGAUCAUGGUAUUGAUCAUAAUUUUUAUGCUCCUAGAACUUCUCAACAAAAUGGUGUUGUUGAAACGAAAAAUAGAACUCUCGAGGAAAUAUCUCGCACUAUGCUUUGUGAAAAUGAUUUGCCUAGAUAUUUUUAGGCUAAAGUCGUUAAUACUGCAUGCUAUGUUGUAAAUCAUACUAUGCUUAGAUCUAUUCUCAAGAAAACCCCAUAUGAACUCUUGAAAGGUAGAAAACCCAACAUUAGUCGUUUGUGUGCCUUUGGUUAUAAGUGUUUUGUGCUCAAUAAUAAUAAAGAUAAUUUAGGAAAGUUUGAUGCGAAAUCUGAUGAAGUUGUGUUUCUAGGCUACUCUAAUUCC